rnacentral:rRNA from 1 species
GACGAACGCUGGCGGCGUGCUUAACACAUGCAAGUCGAACGGAAAGGCCCUGCUUUUGUGGGGUGCUCGAGUGGCGAACGGGUGAGUAACACGCGAGUAACCUGCCCUUGACUUUGGGAUAACUUCAGGAAACUGGGGCUAAUACCGGAUAGGAGCUCCUGCUGCAUGGUGGGGGUUGGAAAGUUUCGGCGGUUGGGGAUGGACUCGCGGCUUAUCAGCUUGUUGGUGGGGUAGUGGCUUACCAAGGCUUUGACGGGUAGCCGGCCUGAGAGGGUGACCGGCCAAAUUGGGACUGAGAUACGGCCCGGACUCCUACGGGAGGCAGCAGUGGGGAAUAUUGCACAAUGGGCGGAAGCCUGAUGCAGCAACGCCGCGUGCGGGAUGACGGCCUUCGGGUUGUAAACCGCUUUCGCCUGUGACGAAGCGUGAGUGACGGUAAUGGGUAAAGAAGCACCGGCUAACUACGUG